CGUCGACUGGGCUUACUUAAGACAGGUUUUGGCGCUUCGAGCGUCCAAUCAAAUGCCAGGCGGUGAUGACUGUUAAGUGAAUUAAUUAAUUUGUACGGUGUGGAGUGAUGAAGUUUGUUGUUUAUGGUAAAUGCGAAUCAUACUUUAAGACAAACGCAGAAAUAUUCAUCACGGAGUGUUUUCUACAAUUCAUGGAAUCUCCGACAUCGAAUAACUCAUUUUGGGCAGGAAAUAGAUGGAUGUGGUACCUCAGGUUUUGACGCUUCGAGCAUUCAGUGAAAUAUCAGACGUAGUCAUUGUUUAUUGUAUAAUCACAUAUUAUUGUAUACUUCACAAUGUAUAGAAUAAAAUAAAUUAAUAAUAAUAAGUGA